rnacentral:rRNA from 1 species
CCUACGGGUGGCAGCAGUGGGGAAUAUUGGACAAUGGGGGGAACCCUGAUCCAGCGACGCCGCGUGAGUGAAGAAGUAUUUCGGUAUGUAAAGCUCUAUCAGCAGGGAAGAAAGAAAUGACGGUACCUGACUAAGAAGCCCCGGCUAACUACGUGCCAGCAGCCGCGGGAAUACGUAGGCGGCAAGCGUUAUCCGGAUUUACUGGGUGUAAAGGGAGCGUAGACGGCGAGGCAAGUCUGAAGUGAAAGGCGGGGGCCCAACCUUGGGACUGCAUUUGAAACUGAGUAGCUAGAGUGCAGGUGAGGUAAGCGGAAUUCCUAGUGUAGCGGUGAAAUGCGUAGAUAUUAGGAGGAACACCAGUGGCGAAGGCAGCUUACUGAACUGUAACUGACGUUGAGGCUCGAAAGCGUGGGGAGCAAACAGGAUUAGAUACCCUUGUAGUC